GUCGAGGCAUUGGAACCCUCAACGAAGGAAAGGCCAGUCAGUACCGGGGCAUUGGAAAAGUUGACCAAAUUCCAAACGUUCAACGACCCCCAACUUGAACGCAUGAAACAGGAGGCGGCGCGUUUUAUGACCGCCGAAGAUCAUCCGUACUGGCUAACGUUCUUGGGAAAUAGUGGGACAGGAAAGACGUUCUUGGCAGACUUGAUGGGUUGCAACGUUUGC
rnacentral:misc_RNA from 1 species